AAGAAUGACACUAGAAUAUUUAGGCAGACCCUAUUCUCAUUUUUAUUACACAUUCCAUCAUUUAGGUUUAUAGGAGCCAUUUUUCACUCACUUAUUGAGAGAUAUAUAGGCAAUCUUGUAUUCGAGAUACAGGGAAACUGCGUAAAGUUUUUCCAGAUGGACUUCACCUUAAUAACAGGGCUGAAGUUUAGUGACCUCUCUAUACCUAAUAUCCCUCGUUUGAAGAAGUCAAUAAGAGAAAAAUACUUCAAUUCAAAUCCUAUCCUAAAGAAACAUGUACUGGAGGUGUUCAAUAGGAUAGUUGAUAGCAAGAAGCAUGAAGAUGUCGUGAAGGUAGACCUAAUAUUAUGUGUAGAGUGGUUUGUUAGGGGAACCGACAUGAAUAUUAUGUGUUGUACAGAAUUUAUCAACCUUGUUGACUCGUUGGAAGACUUUAAACACUACCCUUGGGGUAGUGUGGCCUUCCAGACGAUGACUGAAGGGAUCGAUAAUGCCUUGAUGGCAUCACAUGGGCUUCAUUACAAUGUCACCGGUUGCAUAUUUCCCCUAUAAGUAAGGAUUCUGUCCUUGUCUAUUUUAAUUUAUAGUUUAUACGAAAGUAUAUGUAUUUAACAUCAUCUUGUCAUUUCAUUGUAACAGAUAUGGGCCCUCGAGAGAGAACCGACUCUCUGACAAUGUAUCAUUUUAUACAUUCCCUCCCAAAUUCCAAGAUUCACACAAUAUCGAGGAUGGAAGGGUUGGAGGUAUAAAAAGAUUCAUCAAAUACUAGAGAGUGAAGAUACUGAGAUAGUUCUUAUCUUAGAGCCUACCAUUGAGGAGCUGGAGACGGAGGCCGUUUGUUUGGUCCGUGAUAGAUUUGAUGGCAUUAAAGAUGAAGAUGAUGAAGAUAUGGAAGGGAGAUCGGGACAAGGAGAGAGAGAAGAAGGGGGAGAGGAAGAGAG